GCACCCGUAGCUCAGCUGGAUAGAGCGUUGCCCUCCGAAGGCAGAGGUCACAGGUUCGAAUCCUGUCGGGUGCGCCA
rnacentral:tRNA from 9 species